GAUGAACGCUAGCUACAGGCUUAACACAUGCAAGUCGAGGGGUAGCAGGGUAGCAAUACCGCUGACGACCGGCGCACGGGUGAGUAACACGUAUCCAACCUUCCCAUAACUCGGGGAUAGCCUUUCGAAAGAAAGAUUAAUACCCGAUAGUACUUUUUCAAGGCAUCUUGAGAAAGUUAAAGAUUUAUUGGUUAUGGAUGGGGAUGCGUUCCAUUAGAUAGUUGGUGAGGUAACGGCUCACCAAGUCUUCGAUGGAUAGGGGUUCUGAGAGGAAGGUCCCCCACAUUGGUACUGAGACACGGACCAAACUCCUACGGGAGGCAGCAGUGAGGAAUAUUGGUCAAUGGGCGAGAGCCUGAACCAGCCAAGUAGCGUGAAGGAUGAAGGUCCUAUGGAUUGUAAACUUCUUUUAUAGUAGAAUAAAGUGAUCCACGUGUGGAUUUUUGUAUGUAUACUAUGAAUAAGGAUCGGCUAACUCCGUGCCAGCCGCCGCCGUAACAC
rnacentral:rRNA from 1 species